UCCAUACACGUUAAACUCUUUAGCUUCCCAGUCUCCGCGUCUCCCUUUCUUUAUUAUCAACAACUGAAGCGUUUGCUAACAAGAAACAAACACUAUCCCUAUAAAUAGGUGAGGGUUGAGCCUCAAAUCCAGCAUCUCAUACACGCUAUCUGAGUUUCUCUUCCGACGAAUCCUAAAUCACUCCUUCGAAACUUGUUGCUUCAUAUGCAAUUUCCGGACAGCCUACUGCUCACCAUGCUACCAUUGAUGAUCUCGCCUUCUCUCAGGUUAUUGCUGGCCUUCAUCAACUAGCAACGCCUUGUGAGUGAAUUCAUCGUUAGAGAUCUCCCGUAAUCUUCAUACCCUUUAACACAACAGCAGCAGAUGAGGUAGCAGAGGAGAUCUGGCGGCUGAACAAUGUCCCGGUGCUCGCGAUCCCACCGGAAUUGCAAACCUGAGAGUUGUUGGAGAUGGAGAAGAUAAGUGUCACUAACCUCUUGCUUCGUAACGCCAUAGCUCUCUAGGAUUGUUGUUUCGUACUCUUCUCACCUUCUCGAGAUUAUGAAUUAAUGAAAUUGCAAGGAAUAGAUGCGUCUGCGGAAAUCUUUAAUGAAUUGGCCCCAUGAAUAGGAAUCUCCGCCUUGGUUGAGAGCUCAUGGGAGUGGAUAAGCUCCUUCUCGGUUCUCACUUCUCAGGGAGCUGGUGGACCAGAGGAGGAAGAUAAUUGAUGGCCACCAUGCCUGAAACCUCCGCUUAAAGAGCAGUUCUUUGUUCACUGCAAGUUUCAUGUAGACUCUCACAAGGGUGACUGCAAUAUGUAUUACUUAGACUGCACCAACGGUGAGCUUUGCUCUCUUUGUCUUGCCCAUCCCAAAGCUCACCUCACCAUCCAAUCCAAAGGUCGAUCUUUAGGUCUAUAUAUCAAUAGCCUGGCACAAUGCUUGGAUCCAUAGCUAUUCCAUGCAGAGAGAAAGAGAGAGAGAGAGAGUUCCUGCAGGAACAAAAAGCAAUGGGCUUGAGAAAAGAGCAGCAGCUGAUGUGGCUUCAGCCUUGGAAUCUUACGAAGCAGAGAAUGGAGAAGGCUACAGUGAUCAUUACCUCAUGAAGAGCACAAUCAUGAGCGGUUGUAAAUGCAUCGAUGUCCAAUCUAAAACAGCCAAAUAAAAGCAUAUGGUCUUGAAAGGAACAUGAAAAUGUAGCUUACUUAUUGUUCUUAUGUACAUUUUGUUUUCAAGGCACCAUUGCUCAGCAGACGAAAACAAUCGUUAACAGAGUUUAUUGAUAAGAAUUAUAAGACUCUAUCUACUUAA